rnacentral:ribozyme from 1 species
UGCCCAGCAACUCCUAUCCCUACCUCCACGCGGUACCGGCCGGAAACUAUGAGCAACCUUAGAGAAGAUCGGGUAACCAACCCCGGUGGGAACUUUGGGCGGAGGGUGACAGGGAAGG